rnacentral:rRNA from 1 species
CAGGUGGUCAGGUAGAGAAUACCAAGGCGCUUGAGAGAACUCGGGUGAAGGAACUAGGCAAAAUGGUGCCGUAACUUCGGGAGAAGGCACGCUGACACGUAGGUGAAGUGAUUUACUCAUGGAGCUGAAGUCAGUCGAAGAUACCAGCUGGCUGCAACUGUUUAUUAAAAACACAGCACUGUGCAAACACGAAAGUGGACGUAUACGGUGUGACGCCUGCCCGGUGCCGGAAGGUUAAUUGAUGGGGUCAGCGCAAGCGAAGCUCCUGAUCGAAGCCCCGGUAAACGGCGGCCGUAACUAUAACGGUCCUAAGGUAGCGAAAUUCCUUGUCGGGUAAGUUCCGACCUGCACGAAUGGCGUAAUGAUGGCCAGGCUGUCUCCACCCGAGACUCAGUGAAAUUGAACUCGCUGUGAAGAUGCAGUGUACCCGCGGCAAGACGGAAAGACCCCGUGAACCUUUACUAUAGCUUGACACUGAACAUUGAGCCUUGAUGUGUAGGAUAGGUGGGAGGCUUUGAAGCGUGGACGCCAGUCUGCGUGGAGCCGACCUUGAAAUACCACCCUUUAAUGUUUGAUGUUCUAACGUGGACCCGUAAUCCGGGUUGCGGACAGUGUCUGGUGGGUAGUUUGACUGGGGCGGUCUCCUCCUAAAGAGUAACGGAGGAGCACGAAGGUUGGCUAAUCCUGGUCGGACAUCAGGAGGUUAGUGCAAUGGCAUAAGCCAGCUUGACUGCGAGCGUGACGGCGCGAGCAGGUGCGAAAGCAGGUCAUAGUGAUCCGGUGGUUCUGAAUGGAAGGGCCAUCGCUCAACGGAUAAAAGGUACUCCGGGGAUAACAGGCUGAUACCGCCCAAGAGUUCAUAUCGACGGCGGUGUUUGGCACCUCGAUGUCGGCUCAUCACAUCCUGGGGCUGAAGUAGGUCCCAAGGGUAUGGCUGUUCGCCAUUUAAAGUGGUACGCGAGCUGGGUUUAGAACGUCGUGAGACAGUUCGGUCCCUAUCUGCCGUGGGCGCUGGAGAACUGAGGGGGGCUGCUCCUAGUACGAGAGGACCGGAGUGGACGCAUCACUGGUGUUCGGGUUGUCAUGCCAAUGGCACUGCCCGGUAGCUAAAUGCGGAAGAGAUAAGUGCUGAAAGCAUCUAAGCACGAAACUUGCCCCGAGAUGAGUUCUCCCUGAGACUUAAAGUCUCCUGAAGGAACGUUGAAGACGACGACGUUGAUAGGCCGGGUGUGUAAGCGCAGCGAUGCGUUGAGCUAACCGGUACUAAUGAA